rnacentral:rRNA from 1 species
AACGAACGCUGGCGGCAUACCUAACACAUGCAAGUCGAACGAGACCUUCGGGUCUAGUGGCGCACGGGUGCGUAACGCGUGGGAACCUGCCUUUAGGUUCGGAAUAACUCAGAGAAAUUUGAGCUAAUACCGGAUGAUGUCUUCGGACCAAAGAUUUAUCGCCUUUAGAUGGGCCCGCGUUGGAUUAGCUAGUUGGUGGGGUAAAGGCCUACCAAGGCGACGAUCCAUAGCUGGUCUGAGAGGAUGAUCAGCCACACUGGGACUGAGACACGGCCCAGACUCCUACGGGAGGCAGCAGUGGGGAAUAUUGGACAAUGGGCGAAAGCCUGAUCCAGCAAUGCCGCGUGAGUGAUGAAGGCCUUAGGGUUGUAAAGCUCUUUUAACCGAGAUGAUAAUGACAGUAUCGGGAGAAUAAGCUCCGGCUAACUCCGUG